AUACCACUAAAUGUUGCUACAAACAAUUGAACGGGGACAGCUUUUUGAUCAUCUAAACAAAAAUAUCUUACAGUCUUCAAUCGGUUUUGCAAACAUGGUAAUCUCUGAAACAGCAAUAAAAUUAAAAAUACCUUUAACCGGAUUUGUUUAUGGACACACAGCAUCGUCAUCGAGUAUGUGCGAACAAGAAACAAACGUCCACCCCUAACACCAUAUUCGGCGGAACUGAUCCACCAGGAAACGAGAAAAAACUCCGAAAUAUCACACCAAUUAACUUCACGAUAUGUCACUACGAGUAUGUUUUACUUAAUUUUUUAUGCUAUUUGUGGAUUGGGAGGGGUCUAACUUUGUUGGAUGAAAUUUGAUAGAAUCUCGAUAAAAAAUGAGACCCAUUCUCAUACCGUCACGCGUUUGAAAUUAUUUUGUUUCCAUUUACAUAUUUAUAUACUAACGGCGCGUUCGUAAAUUGAUUUUUUGGGUGAUGCAUCGAAUUUUUUGGUAGAUGUCAAAUCACCUUCCAAUGCUUUUGCAUACAGUUUGUUUGAUUUACGAACGCCAGCAUCGAUAGAAAAAAUCACUUCGAUAGAAUAAAUCAAUUUACGAACACGCCGUAAUUAUCAAAUUAUGCAAUCUUUUUCUAUACCGAGUUCAAAAGAGAAACAAUAAAAAAAACAGGUCGAGUUCGUCAUUCUUGUAUUUUCAAAACAUGUUGAAAUCGCUUUCUGGCCAAUUGCGGUUGUAACAUAGUUUCUGAGAAGAACGGAUGAUCGAUUAGACUAGGGGUAUAUGUAGAUCAGUGUGUUUUUCUUUAAACAAUGUUCUCUGAAUAACUGUCUGAAUCUUUCGAGAAAAUUUUUGUACAACUGAACAAAACCAACUUUUAGUUAUACCCAUUCUACGUAAUCAAAUAGAACUCAUAUAAAAUGAGGUUUGAAUGAUAGCCAAAAGCUAUGUUAAUGUAUGUACCUAUGUCUGCUUUUCACAUGCACCAGAUUGAUUUAUUAUUUGACCAACUGGUUUUCGAAGUUUGAAAAAAAUAACAGAAAAUACAGGUUCAUUUAUGUAUUCCUUCACCCGUCGCAAGCACUAUGUGAACAUUCAUAAAUGUCAUUUCGAAUGGAUGUGUCUGCUAAAGUAGGACAUUGACUGUUUUAUUAUUACUUUACUUACUCUUUUUUUUAUUGCUAGUCUAUUAUCUUUAUCUUUAUUAGAUGGAUAAAGCCCGUAUUAAAGUUUUGAUCCCUCUCUAAUGCGAUUAAAAAAAAACUCAUCAUUUGCAACAACAGAUUACAAUUCUAAUCUAAGUGAUACAUCGAGUUCCUAAAAUUUGCACACAUUACAAUCUAAAAAGUCGUAAAACUUAAAAUUACAAAAGAACUCUACGGAAUCUACAUUUAAGUGUGAAUCGGGAAAAUGAAAUUCUGAUGAAACGCGUUAAAUUAUUCUUAUGAGUGCAAUAUGGAUGAAAACAUAAUGAAAAAGGAUUGAAAGACAGUUCUUAUUAUAAAUAUCAACGCGUUUGACUUGAUGUCUUCAUAAGAAUACAUUGAUUAAGGGGAAAUUUUGUUUAUAAAAAUGAAUCCAUGAGGUGAAAUGAAUUUUUACAACUACAAGAUAUAUUUUGGAACGUCCUGCUUAUCCAUGAUAAUAUGUCAAAACAUUUUCCAUAACAAAAUAUGAUGCUGAACUGUGUUAUCUUUACUAAGUUAAUGAACUUUAUUGUAACCAAUGUGAUGAGAGAAGAGUGGGUUAUCAGCAUCAGGAGCACAUCUCAGCUUUGGAGCUCUAGAAUAUUUUUGAUUGUCUUGAUUUACAUUCUUUGGAAUAUUUAAUUAACUUUUUUUUAUACUUGUCUAUAACCGCAUUAAACAUGCCGCAGCUAGAAUGAUCGGGUAUGGGAAAUUUUACUUUGGCAAACAUUAAACUGAUGACCAUCUUCUAUUUCAACAUACUCGUAUGACAUAUUCAGAUUGAAGUGAUAUAAUCGGAGUUCGCAUUAACUUAUCCAAGACGCAUCUUCUUACGACCACAUACUUGGAAAUGUUUUCACAUUUCUAUUGGUUUUGAAUAGACAAUCGCGAACGACGACUUCGAAACUAAUACUCACCUUGAAAUCUUCCAAAAGUCCGUAACUCAAAACCGAAGAAAUUCUUCGAAGAAAGUUUCCGGGUUUUGAAAGGAAAGUUACUUCUCAAUAUCUCUCUCAUUCGUGAAAAUAGCAAACAAUCAACUCUAAUCCACUUUUGUUCAAGUUCACUCGUUCCCUUUAAAACUUUAAUCAUAAAUAUCGUUUAUCCAAUUGAACUGUGAUUCCUAUUAGGAGGUACGUGACUAUGGCCACGGUCAGGAUAAUAACCAGCGACAGUCACGCUUCAACAACGACAACAACCAGCAGCAGCAACAGCAGCAGAAUCAAAAUCAGGGUGGCGGACCUGGAGGCCCCGGCGGAAACAACCAGCAACAGCGCCCGUUCGGCAAUAACCGUGGUGGCAACUGGAUGAACAACAACAAUGACCGUCGCAACAACGACGAAUUCCAGAGUAAGCGAAGACGCUUCUAAGCGCUGCCGUUAAAUAAUGACGCUGCCGCUUACUUAGAAAUUACUUCAAGUUUUAAAAAACAUCAGCCCUCAUGCACUGCUACCGAACGAUUUCGGAUAGAAGCUGGAAAGCCCUACCAGGACUAUUGCGGGGUUCAACAAAUCUGACAAACUUAUUUAUAUACACAUAAAUGAUAAGCAGCAAAGAUGGAUAUUCUCAGCAAUGAGAUAUGUUGGGUAGCAAACACGCAUUUUCAGCUCUUGACUUUGCAAUGAUCUCUACAGCGUGUAUACCCACCCACACAUGGAAUGAAAAGGCUGCUCUUAUGAACAAAACAACAAAAUUAAACAAGAUUAUUUCCUCCAAAGGAUCAAUACGCAGACGCACUCAGCUUCGCUCCGCCACUACCGGUACAAUGCACCAAUUGUAUCUAUUCUUCAAGUUAUCGCGGGAUGCGAAACCUGUUCCGUCGACGUGUUCCAAUUGAUCACCAUCGUUUCGUGUAUUUCUUCUAUUUAGUUUUGCAAAUUUUGCAACUCGUCAGCAUUAUUCCACCCCCAACGAUUUAAUGACUCAGUAAUGUUUUAUCAUUUUUAUCGUUUUACUUGGAAAAAAUAUAAUUUGAGAUCGGAAGCACCGAUGCCUUGGAAACGGUUUUAACGCCAACAACUUCAUUUUUUUUCGAUUAAGAAAUAAUUUAAACUACGGGGAAACAUUUCAACUCACAAUGAACCACAAUCGAUUUUAAAUGUGUAAUAGGGCUCCAUAGAGUGCUUAACAAUCACUGUAACUGUAGUAAUUUAUGGGAAAAGUGAAGAGUUCACUUUUGGAAAAAUGGUUAGCAAGUCUAGUUUGUCGGCUAAUUCGGUCUUGCUACUUCUUAAAAUUGAAUAAACUUGAAAAACAACAACUAACACUGAUAAUGAAUAAACAGAACUAAUCUCAAAUCAUACAGCAAAAAAAAAACAUAAACUGAAAACUGCAAGUUAAUUUGAUCUACACUUGAAAAACAUUUUAUGCAAUUCUUAAACAGUAGGGACAGAAUUCAUGUGACUCAGUUAGUAUCCAUUUUGUAGUUCUUAAAGAAAAGUUUCAAAAGUAUUUAUUUGUAACUGGGAAAACGCUCGAGUACUGAGUGUCCCUAUUUAGAUCCCAAUUAGGGAUCCAUCUUGCCCGGAGAAGAGCAAGUGGGAUGAAACGAGCGUUUUCUCAUGCGUUUCUCACAAGUGAACAACACAAAUUAAGGGACAUUUUUGAUUGUUUAAUAUUAAACAUUGUAUUGUGAUCUAUUUCGAGCUAAUCAGGCGUGGGAGCUCUUUUUUUGUUGUUGCUGGUGGGAGGUUGCAAGUAUUCAUUUAGCAAAAAGGUGGGCUAACGCAAUCUCUUCUAUCCAGCAGCAACAGUUAGCUUCGUACAAGGAAAUGCCGAUUUAAAUAGACACAACACCACACAUUAAUCAAGAGUACUAUUUGUAAGGCAACAAAUUGAUUUUUAAUUUCUAGAUUCUGAGAAUUAACUGUAAGCUCCGAAGAUUAUAUCUUUUGAAUAAAUCACUGUGUAAUAGUAAGAAUAUAAACGGUAUUCGAUAUAAACAAUACUUCUGUUGUAUUAAUAGUUUUACUGUAGUCCGAUGAUUCUGUGGGAAUUCGUGGGUGAAAUUUGAAAAAAAAUUCCAUACAAAAACAAACAUGACUUUACUUAGUUCUGAAAAAAAAAAUGGCAACUUGUGUGAACUUGACGAGUUCUUGCAGCUUCACACGAUAUGACCCUAGAAGUAUGAUAAUUGAAUAUACCAGAUUGUCGUUGGCUUUGAGUCAUGUUUGUUUAUGUUAAGGUUUUCAGUGAACUGGUGAUGCCUUGAAGGCUUCCAACGACGUAAUGAGAAGAUGACGUUCCUUUGAGGGUUCCUUCAAUGUACGUCAUAUCGAGUGUCGCUUUUAUGGACUGCUCUGAAUUGUUCUGUCGAGCUUAAAAAGAUCAUUUUAGGUUUAAUGUCACCAAUUACUAGAUAAAUAGUUUUUGGAGUAAGUUUUAUCCUCAUGUCACACACCUUCUAUUAUUUCCACCGUUUCCACACUGCUGCGUUUUUUUUAGACUAACACGUGCAUUAGUGUGCACGUUUUUUCUAUCAAAUAUUUCCCAACUACGUGAAAAAACAGAAUGGACAACUCCUGCAAUGCAAGAGAAAAAUCUUCCAUCGAUACGGUUCUUGUCAUCGACUGUACUCUAAAGCCAACCCGAGUAAGGAAGCGUAGAAAUUGCUUCCAUAGAAAAAAGCCAGAUAAGUUAAAACUCUUUGUGAUGCACGGAGAUAACCGAUGCUAAAAACUAGAUUUUUAGCACAAGAGAGAGAAUUGUCUUCAACUAGCUCAGUUUGAGAAAAGCGCAACUCGACUGGAGAUAGUGUCCUGCUCGUUACACAUCAAUAAGUUUAUCAGCAUUUUGGAGCAGAAGUCAGAAAGUCUAACCAGUCUGUAGAAAUAGAGCGACACUCGUAUGGUCGAAACAUGGAAGAGUUAAACACGAGGAGGGAAUAUGCUUGGGAACAAAAUAUGGGUUAACUUUAGAAACAAUGCGACACAACUUUUGGAAAUUCAUUGACUUUUUUUAAACAAUCUCUCUCAUUUAGAAUACAUAGUUGAUUCAAAUUUGACUUUACAAAAAACGGUAAAUUUUAAUGAUGCCCCUCAAGUUGUGUCGUUAGUUUGUAAAAAGAAAAUUGUAUUUUAAAUUUACUAAUGAAAACAGUUUAUUUUUCAGCAUCUCUUCAAUCAAUUACUCAAAGGUUAAAAAUGUUCGAAUGAACGAAAAUAUUGGAUUUGGUCUGAGUUCAACAGUUGGUUUGCAUGCACCUUUUGUUUGUGUAUCGUUUGAUAUCUGCUAGGUUUUCAAAAAUUACAAUAAUCCGAAGCUAAGCCUUUUCUGGCUAAUGGAAUAGAGAAUCUUAUCUUAUAUCUGUUGUCAAUUCAUUUUUAGGGCUUUUGAAUUGGAAUGGGCUAUUUUCGACAUAUUGGGCGAUUUGAGCAAUAAUGAACUUACAGAGCUAAAGACGCUAAAGUUAGAAAUCUGUACAAACAAUUUAUGUUCAUCUGUUUAUCAUCUAUCUUUAUGCCAUUUUCUGAUGAACAAAUUUCUUAUUGGAAGCCAUUAUUAAAUUAGAACGAUGAUUUAAGUAGGUACCUACUACCUAAAUGCCAUAAAAAUGCCACCUUUAGCUUCUCAAAUAAUCGAAAGGGCAAUUCAUACAAAAUAAACAGAAUUCGAAAAAAAAACGGCAGUUCUUCACCGAAUUUUGAAAUAUUCGGGAUAGGUACUUUUAUCAGUUCGGUAGUUGUUUAUGACCGAGUGACUAAUUAUUCAAAGUGGCAAAUGUUAAUGCAACAAGAAACUUUCCCUGAAAAAAUCUACAUAAGUAACUAGUGCUCGGUAUUACAAACAUUAAAUUAACUACCUAGUUGUUCGUUUUUUACCGAAACGAUGAACUUGUAUCUACUGAAAAAUCGGUGAUAUUUACCGAACAUUGGUUGGUCUUAACUUAAUCAAUAUUCACUCAAUAAUGUAAACAAAUCAGUUCGGAGGAAUCCUACUCAUGGUUUUGUUGUUUUACUUUAAGCAUUUUAAGAUUUUAGUUUUAUAUAACUGAAAGCUUAUUAAUGAACACCGUCAGUUCUGGUUUGAUAAUUCCGAAAAAUAAGCUGAUUUUUCACAGUCCAAUAGACUAGAAUUGAAUCUGACUGCACAUCAGUUACUUCAUCAAAUCCACUACGCAGCAAUAAUAUUUCUAUCAAUACUUCUUUAUGAAGUAUUAUUCUAUCAAAAGCAAAACAUAAUAGAGUAGUAAAACACCCGUGUUCUCUGUGUUAUUUCUACUGUACUGUGCAUCUUUUAUUUUUAUGUAAAGAUACUAUUUGGGAAGAAAGAUGUAGACCAAUCAUCUAAAAGUAUGAAUCAUAAGGAAUCUAGGAAGCUAACUCUUAUCGCUCAUUAAAAAAAUUGAAAAAGUAUGAAUUGGGGAGAAUUCUUGCAAUUCAAUUCUUGUCGAAAUCAAUUGUCAAAUUUUUAUUUUUGUUUUUUUUUUCGUUUUUUUUAAACAAGAAUUUGAAAUUAUUUGAAAAAACGUGGUCGUUCGUUUUGAAAUCGAACAUUUUGUUAAACAUUUUCAUAACAAAUACAGUGCUUUGAAGGAAUUAUAGCAUAAAAGAUGAAACACGAAAGAUACGUGUUAAUUAAGGGAUAAUGAUUGAGGGAAAAAUUGGGAAUGAUAUGAUUGGGAGAAAUUGUUGCAAGAACAACUCUGCAUGUGCGUGUGUUUGUUUGUUUCGUAUCGUCUGAGUAUGUUCACCUUGUUGAUGGUGUACAACACCUUCGUUUUGGGAAGUCAGUUCGUUUUACUUUUCAGCUCUCUGAUCCUUGACACAUUGUAUCCUCUGAGCCAAAUGUGUGGGGUCCUGUUAAAAAUCACCUGUGACGAACAUUCCGUUCGGAAAACUUCGAAUUCGGCCAUUGUGUGGGGCAGAAAGUAAUCUAGAUCCAUAACUCUUGCCAUAAGAAGAAAACCAGUAUUCGUGCACCGAAUUUGUGACAAGUAUCCUGACGGAAACCCCAUUACUGUUAUUUAAAAGACUGAGAACGUUUCGCUGAAUGAAUGCUUGUACUCAAGCGAAUCACUAAUGUCAACCAAUCUCAACAGCCUUUGGCGAAUCUUUCGAUUCAAGCUCAAAUCUUCAAGAAAUAGGUAAUUGUUCAAUAUUCUUUUUAAUACGCUAACUUAUCACUUCUCUGAUCAUAUAAUGGUUUAAAUUUUUAAGCGGUUUUAGAGUGGUUAUCCGACGAAUGACGAAUUUUUCAUUAGUUGUGUAUUAAAACAAAAACAGUAAAUCAGUUUAGUCUAUCUUUAGUUUUUUUCCUUUUUUUUUCUAUUUCUUUUUUUUCUAUUUUUAAAGAUUUUCAAAGUGUGUGUAUCUCUUCAACAGUAAUUAUCUGUAUUUUUGUGUUCUUUUUAAUUUUUUUUUUGUACAUUUUUCUCUUCGAGCUCUCUGAUUAAAAUAGAAAUAAAACAAAUCAAUUUUUCAAGUAAUGACGCAAAAAGCAUUUCUACACGUUUAACAUUUGAUUCACAUGAUAUUUGUAUUUAAAAGAUGCGCAAGAUACGUUCUGAUGAUUAUUUUUGUGAGCACUCUUGCAACUUUGCUUUAAAGGAAACCUUUUGAAAUUUAAAAAACCUUAGUCACCUGAACCUGCAUAUCAAACAACCCAUAUUUUUCCGAGAGAAUCGUUGGUGCGCCAACUUCUUUUUAUCUGAGAAAACACUAUUUUUAUUCUUUUUUAUUUCGACUAAGGUUACCAACUUCGACUGAGCUUGAUCCAAUCGUGCAAAGCUUAAUGCUUGAGUGCCACUUAUUUUAAACUAUCUCUCAAUUUCGAUCUUGCGCAAAUAAUAAAACAUUUAAUAACUUUGAACAAGCUAGGGACCCAUCAUGUGAAACGUUUAGGACCUUUGAUUUGAGUUAGUUUUUGCGUCUAUGAAACAUAUUUUGUGUAUCUAUCCAGUAAUGCACUUAUAAUCGAUUCUAGAAGAAGGCACAAGAUAAAAAGCUUUGUUCGCCUUAUAAAUUAAAAGUGAAAGGAAUUUGGAAAAAUAUAUAUUUUAAGAGACACCCACCAUUAUUUUUCUAACUGAUCUAAGAAGAACACUACCACAAUGACGAAGACACUAAUCGCAUAUUGGUUCAUUACAGGCGGAAAUGUUGCUCAGGAACCUGUUCCCCAGGAAGAACUAUAACAAGGUUUUUUGAAACCAGACGAAACAUAUCACCAAAUCUCCGCCCAGCAAAGCAAUCGUAACUACCUCAGCCGCAUCGCCUCUUGUUGGCAGUAGAUGACGUCGCAACAAGAACCGAUCAGUGGAAUAAUAGCAGCGCAAGCAGACACUGGACUUCCUUUGACAUUGUUUGUGGAGAUGAAACUAGAGAAGACACCUCAAAAACAAGAUUUUUCCUUGUAGAUAGGUGGCAUUGCUAAAGUUACCAAGAACGAUGGCUGAAGUCAUUUGACAAGUACACGUGUAUGAACGGAAGAAAAUGGCUCAAGAAGCAAGAUCUUACUCCAAGCUUCAAAGCUGCCGUCUGACUUAUUAAUGUACUGGUGUUCAUUCCAAAACAUCGGUGCAGUGCAUCGUUAGGCAUAAGCAAAUGCCGAGGAAUGAUUUGAUAACCUGUGGACCACGAUUGGACAUAUUUGAGAUUUAUUCAAUUCGAUGGAAAAGUUCAAAGGUGGUGGUACACUUAUGGUAGCAAUCGGAAGUUUCUGAGUCGCUACCAGCCCCACAACAGACGUGCGACAACAGUUGAGACUACUCUCUCCAUGGUGCUGAACAUUUGACACAAAGAGGAUAAACCAAUACGGUACGGUAUUGAACUGCCACACGUAAACCAGGUUAUUAGCCUACAAUCAACAAGAUGACGCGACGCACUCCUCCUUGAGGGUAUCGUAAAUGAAAAGCACAGUGUAAAAUUUAUUGAAUUUUAUUUAUACUUUUCAUUAAAAGAAAAUAUACAUAACCAAGAAAUAAAA